UCACAUGGCUUAAGCGCGUGAGAAGAC
rnacentral:piRNA from 1 species